rnacentral:rRNA from 1 species
UACGGGGGGGGCAAGCGUUGUUCGGAAUUACUGGGCGUAAAGGGCUCGUAGGUGGCCAACUAAGUCGGACGUGAAAUCCCUCAGCUUAACUGGGGAACUGCGUCCGAUACUGGAUGGCUUGAGUUUGGGAGAGGGAUGCGGAAUUCCAGGUGUAGCGGUGAAAUGCGUAGAUAUCCGGAGGAACACCGGUGGCGAAGGCGGCUUCCUGGACCGAUACUGACGCUGAGGCGCGAAAGCCAGGGGAGCAAACGGG